rnacentral:rRNA from 1 species
UACGUAGGGUGCGAGCGUUAAUCGGAAUUACUGGGCGUAAAGCGUGCGCAGGCGGUUUGUUAAGACAGAUGUGAAAUCCCCGGGCUUAACCUGGGAAUGGCAUUUGGGACUGCAAGGCUCGAGUGCGGCAGAGGAGACUGGAAUUCCUGGUGUAGCAGUGAAAUGCGUAGAUAUCAGGAGGAACACCGAUGGCGAAGGCAGGUCUCUGGGCUGACACUGACGCUCAUGCACGAAAGCGUGGGGAGCAAACAGG